rnacentral:rRNA from 1 species
UACGUAGGGGGCUAGCGUUGUCCGGAAUCAUUGGGCGUAAAGAGCGCGUAGGCGGCCCGGUAAGUCCGCUGUAAAAGUCAAAGGCUCAACCUUUGAAUGUCAGUGGAUACUGCCGGGCUAGAGUCCGGAAGAGGCGAGUGGAACUCCUGGUGUAGCGGUGGAAUGCGCAGAUAUCAGGAAGAACACCAACGGCGAAGGCAGCUCGGUGGGACGGUACUGACGCUGAGACGCGAAAGCGUGGGGAGCGAACAGG